UGGCGCCCAACAUGGGGCUCCUGGCACGGAGGAGUUAACGAGGGAGCCGUUCGAGAGAGACAGCCGGCUUAAACUGAAAGUGAAAGCAAAUUGAACCAGAGACCUCGGCCGAGGAGUGAGCAAACUGAAUCAAGGAUUAAAGCUUAAAGCAACAGGACAUUAAAUUAAGUACUGAGACCUGUGCAGACGACUACCCAACGUGCUGCCCGAGUCACGGUGAGUGAACGGCAACCCCAUUUCCCUUCCCGGACAUGGGUCAAGUAUUGAGCGAACACGAAGUGUUCGUCGGAAGUCUUAUAAAGGCAUUAAAGACAAGAGAGAUAAGGGUUGGAACAAAAGAAUUAUUGCAGUAUUUUCAAUUUAUUCAUAAGGUUUGCCCUA
rfam:Cavia porcellus supercont2_3 genomic scaffold, whole genome shotgun sequence.